rnacentral:rRNA from 1 species
CACGUAGGGGGCGAGCGUUGUCCGGAUUCAUUGGGCGUAAAGCGCGCGCAGGCGGCUCGGAAAGUCGGAUGUGAAAACUCGGGGCUCAACCCCGGGCGUGCAUCCGAUACUGCCGGGCUUGAGGCAGGUAGGGGAGAUCGGAAUUCCUGGUGUAGCGGUGAAAUGCGCAGAUAUCAGGAGGAACACCCGUGGCGAAGGCGGCUUUCUGGGACGGUACUGACGCUGAGACGCGAAAGCGUGGGGAGCGAACAGG